rnacentral:rRNA from 1 species
GACGAACGCUGGCGGCGUGCUUAACACAUGCAAGUCGAACGGAAAGGCCCUUCUUUUGUUUGUUUCUCGAUUGGCGCACGCGUGAGUAACACGUGAGUAACCUCCCCUUUACUUUGGGAUAACUUCAGGAAACUGCGGCUAAUACCGGAUAUGAGCUCCUGCUGCAUGGUGUGGGUUGGAAAGUUUCGGCGGUUGGGUCUGUACUCGCGGCUUCUCAGCUUGUUGGUGGGGUAGUGGCUUACCAAGGCUUUGACGGGUAGCCGGCCUGAGAGGGUGACCGGCCACAUUGGGACUGAGAGACGGCCCAGACUCCUAAGGGAGGCAGCAGUGGGGAAUAUUGCACAAGGGGCGGAAGCCUGAUGCAGAAACGCCGCGUGCGGGAUGACGGCCUUAGGGUUGUAAACCGCUUGCGCCUGUGACGAAGCGUGAGUGACGGUAAUGGGUAAAGAAGCACAGGCUAAAUAAGUG